rnacentral:rRNA from 1 species
UACGGAGGGAGCUAGCGUUAUUCGGAAUUACUGGGCGUAAAGCGCACGUAGGCGGCCUUGCAAGUUAGAGGUGAAAGCCUGGAGCUCAACUCCAGAACUGCCUUUAAAACUGCAUCGCUUGAAUCCAGGAGAGGUGAGUGGAAUUCCGAGUGUAGAGGUGAAAUUCGUAGAUAUUCGGAAGAACACCAGUGGCGAAGGCGGCUCACUGGACUGGUAUUGACGCUGAGGCGCGAAAGCGUGGGGAGCAAACAGG